rnacentral:rRNA from 1 species
UGGGGAAUAUUGGACAAUGGGCGCAAGCCUGAUCCAGCCAUGCCGCGUGAGUGAUGAAGGCCCUAGGGUUGUAAAGCUCUUUCACCGGUGAAGAUAAUGACGGUAACCGGAGAAGAAGCCCCGGCUAACUUCGUGCCAGCAGCCGCGGUAAUACGAAGGGGGCUAGCGUUGUUCGGAUUUACUGGGCGUAAAGCGCACGUAGGCGGACUUUUAAGUCAGGGGUGAAAUCCCGGGGCUCAACCCCGGAACUGCCUUUGAUACUGGAAGUCUUGAGUAUGGUAGAGGGGAGUGGAAUUCCGAGUGUAGAGGUGAAAUUCGUAGAUAUUCGGAGGAACACCAGUGGCGAAGGCGGCUCACUGAACCAUUACUGACGCUGAGGUGCGAAAGCGUGGGGAGCAAACAGG